GCCGCCGCCUGGGCGACGGCCGCGAACGCCUCCGGGUCGAGGUCGUUGGGCGGGGUGUUGAUCAGGUCACGGGCGCGGUUGAGCUCCUCGGCGACGGCG
rnacentral:tRNA from 1 species